rnacentral:rRNA from 1 species
UUACAACGGAGAGUUUGAUCCUGGCUCAGGACGAACGCUGGCGGCGUGCUUAACACAUGCAAGUCUACGAGAAAAAGGUAGCAAUAUCUUGAGUAAAGUGGCGCAAGGGUGAGUAAUAUAUAAGUAAUCUGCCCAUGGGUUUAGAAUAACUCGUCGAAAGGCGGGCUAAUACUAAAUAAUGCAGCGGCACCGCAUGGUGAUGUUGUUAAAGCCUAUAUGGCGCCUAUGGAUGAGCUUGUAUCAGAUUAGCUAGUUGGUAAGGUAACGGCUUACCAAGGCAACGAUCUGUAGCUGGUCUGAGAGGAUGAUCAGCCACACUGGAACUGAGACACGGUCCAGACUCCUACGGGAGGCAGCAGUGAGGAA